rnacentral:rRNA from 1 species
AGAGUUUGAUCCUGGCUCAGAACGAACGCUGGCGGCGUGGAUAAGACAUGCAAGUCGAGCGGGAUACACUCGGUAGCAAUAUCGGGUGUAUUUAGCGGCGCAAGGGUGCGUAACACGUGGGUAAUUUGCCAUGAAGCUGGGGAUAACUCCGGGAAACCGGAGCUAAUACCGAAUGUGGACUUGGGAGGCAUCUCCUGAACUCUAAAGCUGGGGACCCGAAAGGGCCUGGCACUUCAUGAUAAGCCCGCGGCCUAUCAGCUAGUUGGCGUGGUAACGGCACACCAAGGCAAAGACGGGUAGCUGGUCUGAGAGGACGACCAGCCACACUGGAACUGAGACACGGUCCAGACACCUACGGGUGGCAGCAGUCGAGAAUUUUUCACAAUGGGCGCAAGCCUGAUGGAGCGACGCCGCGUGGGGGAUGAAGGGCUUCGGCUCGUAAACCCCUGUCAGUCGCGAACAAUGUCUAUCCGUGAACAACGGGUGGAUUGAUAGUAGUGACAGAGGAAGGGACGGCUAACUCUGUGCCAGCAGCCGCGGUAAUACAGAGGUCCCGAGCGUUGUUCGGAUUCACUGGGCGUAAAGGGUGCGUAGGCGGCUUUGCAAGUCUGAUGUGAAAUCUCCGGGCCCAACCCGGAAAUGGCAUUAGAAACUGUGAGGCUGGAGGCUUGGAGGGGGAACUGGAAUACUUGGUGUAGCAGUGAAAUGCGUAGAUAUCAAGUGGAACACCGGUGGCGAAGGCGAGUUCCUGGACAAGACCUGACGCUGAGGCACGAAAGCCGGGGGAGCAAACAGGAUUAGAUACCCCGGUAGUCC